rnacentral:rRNA from 1 species
GACGAACGCUGGCGGCGUGCUUAACACAUGCAAGUCGAACGAUGAAGCUAGAGCUUGCUCUGGUGGAUUAGUGGCGAACGGGUGAGUAACACGUGAGUAACCCGCCCCGAACUCUGGGAUAACUGCUGGAAACGGUAGCUAAUACCGGAUAUGACCAAUGAAGGCAUCUUCUGUUGGUGGAAAGAAUUUCGGUUCGGGGUGGACUCGCGGCCUAUCAGCUUGUUGGAGAGGUAACGGCUCACCAAGGCGACGGCGGGUAGCCGGCCUGAGAGGGUGAUCGGCCACACUGGGACUGAGACACGGCCCAGACUCCUACGGGAGGCAGCAGUGGGGAAUAUUGCACAAUGGGCGCAAGCCUGAUGCAGCAACGCCGCGUGAGGGACGACGGCCUUCGGGUUGUAAACCUCUUUUAGUAGGGAAGAAGCGAAAGUGACGGUACCUGCAGAAAAAGCACCGGCUAACUACGUGCCAGCCGCCGCGGUAA